AGACGAGUUUUAACUUGAAGGGAAAAUUUCUAUUCCAUUUCGAAAUGGCGGGAACUGGCUUUCCGGGGCAGCGGCCAUGCUCUAAUACUCAUCAAAGUCGCAGUAAAUGUUCUCUCUUUUCGUUUCUCUAUUUAAUUUUUCUUUUCUCGACGCCAUCAAAGGUGGAAUGGAAAUUUUCUCAGACAUUUCUCCCACCCAGUCCGAUCACUCCUAACUCACGCAUGAACCCUGUACAUUGAAAUUCUGGGACAAUUUCCAUUCACCUCCCCCGACUCUGGUGCCUGGGGCAACCAAGCCAACACGCUCGAGUGUGACACGCAGGUUCCCAGGAGUACUCGUCUAAGAACGUGGGGCUCACGUUCGCCUGGGUGCUGGGCAUCAUCGGGCCGCUGCUGGCCAUUCUCGCCUUCAUUGCCUACAAGCUCUUCGAGAGCAGAAAGCGGCGGAGACAGCGCGGCGAGUACUCGCCCCCCAGCCAGCAGAAGAUGAUGUCGCGGCCCCAGCCUGUGCGCCUCGUGCAGAAGGAGGAGCUGCCGGACGAUGAGUCGUCCACGGGCCUGGCAGGUGGCACGGCACACACCGAGCAGGAGGUCAACUGAGUCGGGCCCGGACAGCCGCCCCGGGCACUCCAACUUCCACUCCAGUGUGUGUCCGAGCGUAUAACGCGUCAAGUCGAGUAGGGCAACGCCACAAAGGCUCCCCGCCGAGGCGCUCCAAAAGAAAAAGAGUGUACAGCAGUGCGGUCGAUGUCUUGCGACAUGUGUGGACAUUUUUUUGGAGAAAACCCUAAAGGCCAGAACAGUGAACAGUAUUCUCCUAUACGUGUAGUUUUAGUCGAAUCCCCAGCUGUGGUCGUGUUUGUUGCAUUAUUUCCAUAGCGUCUACCUACCGCAUCUUUUUCCUACCCCGUCCCACACCUCCACGCUUUACCCUUUUACCCUUGCCAUGACCACUAUUUCUGGAGGUUGUUAGUAAAGGCUACCUGUAAGUACGAAAAUAUUAAACAACUGGGACAUCAACUAAUUUAUGAAAAUAUGUGUACAUGUGAACUCGUCAAACUGUAUUUAUAGAACCUUUUUUAUAAAAAUUGUUUAAAACAAACCACA